rnacentral:rRNA from 1 species
GACGAACGCUGGCGGCGUGCUUAACACAUGCAAGUCGAACGGUGACCCAGGGCUUGCCCUGGUGAUCAGUGGCGAACGGGUGAGUAACACGUGGGCAACCUGCCCCUGACUUCGGGAUAACUCCUCGAAAGAGGAGCUAAUACCGGAUACGACCACUUCGGACAUCCGAUGGUGGUGGAAAGUUUUUCGGUCAGGGAUGGGCCCGCGGCCUAUCAGCUAGUUGGUGGGGUAAUGGCCUACCAAGGCGACGACGGGUAGCCGGCCUGAGAGGGCGACCGGCCACACUGGGACUGAGACACGGCCCAGACUCCUACGGGAGGCAGCAGUGGGGAAUAUUGCGCAAUGGGCGAAAGCCUGACGCAGCGACGCCGCGUGAGGGAUGAAGGCCUUCGGGUUGUAAACCUCUUUCAGCAGGGACGAAGCGAAAGUGACGGUACCGUGCAGAAGAAGCACCGGCGUAACUACGUGCCAGCAGCCGCGGUAAU